GCCGGGGGGCGAUGGCGGGGCGGCGGGGGAGGGCCGCGGCGGCGGCGGGCUGAGGGGAACGGCGCUUCCCAGAGACAAGGCCCCUGUGCGGACGGGCCUCCGCCGGGGUCCGGACCGUGCGCCCGUUAGUGCGGAGCUACACGGCGUCGUAACGCGAGUGCAGUAGACAGAGGUGAGGGAGGGGGAAGGAAACCUUUUAAUCGGGUCUGCCAGACCCGGUCAGCAAAAACCAUUUCCAAGGCGGCCUACCAUAAGGGGGUGGUGAUCGUGACAUGUCCCGGCUGCGGCAGCCACCACGUCAUGGCCGACAACCUGGGCUGGUUCUCGGAUCUGCAGGGGAAGAGGGAAGUGUGUCUGUUCUUGAAAAAGGAGAGCGGUGAGCACGCUUUGUCUAGGAGGAGCCCAGCAGACGGUGUUUGAGCCAAAGACAAAGGAGCAGGGAGAAGCAGCCUUUCUCCUGAACUGGAGGUGUGCGAAGAUGGGGAAGAAGGUGCGGUGAAGGCCUGGUGCAGCAGAGCAGAGGAGAGCCACUGAAAGUGCAGCUGACCGGGGGCCGUGCCUCCUGCUGCCUUACACAGAGACAGCAGUUCUAAACCCCACCGUGCCUGGAUGUGCUGUGGAGGGCUCAGCUGUACCGAGGAUCCACUUGGGAGCCUCUCCGGGGGAUUUGCCUGCGGCACUGAAGUGGCCAUUGGACAGUGCCUGGGUUCUCCGGGCCAGCGUAUCCCUCCUGCAGGCUGAGAGCCUCUCUGGCCAGAUGAAGAUCAAUGAUGGCUGGAGCAGUAACAGCACGAGGCUCUGGGGAGGGGUGAGGUAAGUGCGGAGACUCAGCCCUGAUGUGACUUGGCAGAUGAGCAAUACAAAAAGCCCCGUGGGCCUGACAUCAGCCCUGCCUCCCGAGUGCCUCUCAGGGCACGUGUACAGCUGAGUAGGAGAGAGCAGUGCCUUGUGUUUCUGCUGGUUUUGUAGAGUUCCUCGUCACCUCCAGCCCUGCACCGGGGACAGCACCUUGCUCUGCGGCAACUCUGCACUUCACAGCUGCUGCAGCAGCGCUCCGUGCCAAACAGUGCCCUGAGCGAGAGAACAUUUACUGGACAGCAUGUGCUCCCUUCUCCAGCUGCUAAGGACAGCGAGAGACCACGGGAACAUACCUGCUUUGGCAGAACUCAUUACUGGAGUUUCUGAAGUCCAAGGUAGCCCGUCUGGUCAAGCAAAUUAAAAAUACUCCACCUCCUGAAGUUAGAUGCCUGCUCCCCUCUUCCCUGGGCUUGCUUUUCCAGCUGUUCCAAAAGGGUAAGGAAUGGAAGUAAAUGUAGACCCUUGCGCUUGCGUGGGGGGUGGAACUGACUUCCCAGCCAGCACCCCAGCGUGCAGCUCUCGUGAGGCUCCAUUUAUUGAAGACAGAUUGUGGAAAACCAGAGGGCCUUGCCGAGAGCAGCUCUGCCGGGGCCCGCAGGGACGGGGAGAAGCUCGGCACUGAUUUGGGGAGGAACAAGGGAAGGCAAGGGCUACUGGACACAAAAGGUUGCUCUCCUGACAAGCCGUGGACAGAACACUUUGCUGGCCCUGGAAGCAGGUCAUUGCCAAAUGAAGGCUUCUGCCUCGCGGCACACUCACCCCACACAGGACAAUCCUGCAAGAGACUUCUGGCUCAGCGGCACCGGAGGCGAUGAGUUGCCCACGUUGUGCUGAAACAGACGGGCAGAGAUUUCCUUCCUCCCUUCCCAGGCACAGGCCCCUGUCUCGGGGCUGCAGUUCGGGCUGCACAGCUGGCAGCUGCCUUUCAGGCUUUGUCCCAGGCUGAAGCUGCUCUUUGCUGGACGGCUGUACUCCAGAGGUAACCAAAUUCCACUAAAGCUCGGGACGAGCGAGGCCUUGCUCCUGCUCAGAAGGUCCCAGUACAGCUCUGCACAGGACUGCAGCUGGAGAAGCAGAGGGGGUGUCGCGGGGCUCACUGCAGAGUCCUCAGCAAACCUAAAAUAAACUUAUGGGUGUGUGGGACCAUGACUGCAGCUGGGGCAGGGGUGAGGUCUGAAAGGACCGGUGCAGCUUCUGAUUUGGGCUCACUUCCUCCUGUAGAAAGAACAAAGCUGAGCAAGAUGUUCCAGGGAAGGACCCAGAGGAAUUUGUGUCACCUCGUCAGGCAGGCAAGACAGGAGGACUUCAAAAUGGAAAAGGUGCUCUCUUCCCUUCCCUCAUUAAUUAAAAGUGUUGUGGAAAUAAAAGA